rnacentral:tRNA from 1 species
GGGGUUAUGGCUCAGUGUUGGAGUGCUUCCCUAGCACGCAUGAGACACUGGGUUUGAUCCUCAGUACUCCA